rnacentral:lncRNA from 1 species
GCUUCGUCAUUUCAUUCCUAACGUCUUCUGAUUCGACUUUGAGACAACCCAGGACUCUGGAAUCUUUGCUGCAACUUCUCCAAUGGACAGAUGUUCCUUUCCAUCCUCUUAACAAGGCUCCAUCAUUUCUUUCCUAACGUCUUCUGAUUCGACUUUGAGACAACCCAGCACUCUGGAAUCUUUGCUGCGACUUCUCCAAUGGACAGAUGUUCCGUUCCAUCCUCUUAACGAGGCUUCAUGAUUUCUUUCCUAACGUCUUCUGAUUCGACUUUGAGACAACCCAGCACUCUGGAAUCUUUGCUGCAACUUCUCCAAUGGACAGAUGUUCCUUUCCAUCCUCUUAACAAGGUUUCCAUGCAAAAAUAUCGGAAUAAGUGGUUGUUGGCAAGCAAAGCAUGUGAUGGUGUCCCUGUGAUGUUCAGGUGGCUCAGAAGAUGUAUUUGGUUCAAGAUUGGAUGGGGGAGUGGCAGACCUCUACUUUGGCCAGUGAGCUGUCCACCCUAGAAAAUCAGAACAAGUGGUUGCUGGCAAGCAAAGCAUACGAUGGUGUCCCUGUGAUGUUCAGGUGGCUCAGAAGAUGUAUUUGGUUCAAGAUUGGAGGGGGGAGUGGCAGACCUCUACUUUGGCCAGUGAGGUGAGUGGCUGUGGCAGACUGCAUGAUGGGUCCAAACCCUUUUUCUUUGACUCUUCCAUGAGGCGCUGGAAGUCUUGAAUAGGAAAGCAAGGAAUCAAUAGCUCAGAGGCUAAGCUCUGAGCAUUACUUCAUAGGGAUCUUAACCUGUUGUCCUGACAUUUCCCAAAAAGGAGCAUUUACUAAAGAAGCAUGGCAUUUCCUCGUGCAGGCUAUGAAACAAAGUGAGGCAAAAGGACAUAGAGUGUUAGCCGCCAUUGAGGUCCCAUGCACUCUAGUGAGGAUACUGCAUGAACUGUGGAGAGUUGAGCUGUACCUCACCUGCAGCCCCACCUUUCACUGCUUCUACUCACUCUUCUUUACCCUUUGAAUCAGAUGGCCAAGGAGAUAGACCCCUUCCUUUAUGCUGCAGAUGCCAAGAACCAGCCCCAUGGCCUGGGGCAAGCCUCCUGCCCAAAUCCCUUGUUUCUGUCCUCACUGCUGUCAAAUGAUAGCUAAACCCCAGAAUUGAGGCAUGCUGUCCUCCCAAGGAGCAGAUUUUGCACGCAAGCUCUUCCACCUUGGCUGCCUCCUGACCACAGUCAACAUGACUUUCACAUCAAUAAAAUGUCCCCUUUUCUUUUGAAGCCA